rnacentral:rRNA from 1 species
GACGAACCGUGCGAACGUUGUUCGGAAUCAUUGGGCUUAAAGGGCGCGUAGGCGGGUGGACAAGUCAGGGGUGAAAGCCCACGGCUCAACCGUGGAAGUGCCCUUGAUACUGAUGAGCUUGAAUACACUUGAGGUAGGCGGAAUGUGACAAGUAGCGGUGAAAUGCAUAGAUAUGUCACAGAACACCAAUUGCGAAGGCAGCUUACUAAGGUGCAAUUGACGCUGAGGCACGAAAGCGUGGGGAUCAAACAGG